AGCGAACGCUGGCGGCAGGCCUAACACAUGCAAGUCGAACGAACCCUUCGGGGUUAGUGGCGGACGGGUGAGUAACACGUGGGAACGUGCCUUUAGGUUCGGAAUAACUCAGGGAAACUUGUGCUAAUACCGAAUGUGCCCUUCGGGGGAAAGAUUUAUCGCCUUUAGAGCGGCCCGCGUCGGAUUAGCUAGUUGGGGAGGUAAUGGCUCACCAAGGCUACGAUCAGUAGCUGGUCUGAGAGGAUGACCAGCCACAUUGGGACUGAGACACGGCCCAAACUCCUACGGGAGGCAGCAGUGGGGAAUCUUGCGCAAUGGGCGAAAGCCUGACGCAGCCAUGCCGCGUGGAUGAUGAAGGUCUUAGGAUUGUAAAAUCCUUUCACCGGUGAAGAUAAUGACUGUAGCCGGAGAAGAAGCCCCGGCUAACUUCGUGCCAGCAGCCGCCGUAACAC
rnacentral:rRNA from 1 species